AAAGUCAAACUUAAUAAAGUAAGCAUGGCACUGAAGAUGCCAAGAAGGGCGCCCUUUCCCCAAGGACA
rnacentral:tRNA from 1 species